GAUGAACGCUGGCGGCGUGCCUAAUACAUGCAAGUCGAGCGAACAGACGAGGAGCUUGCUCCUCUGACGUUAGCGGCGGACGGGUGAGUAACACGUGGAUAACCUACCUAUAAGACUGGGAUAACUUCGGGAAACCGGAGCUAAUACCGGAUAAUAUAUUGAACCGCAUGGUUCAAUAGUGAAAGACGGUUUUGCUGUCACUUAUAGAUGGAUCCGCGCCGCAUUAGCUAGUUGGUAAGGUAACGGCUUACCAAGGCAACGAUGCGUAGCCGACCUGAGAGGGUGACCGCCCACCCUGGAACUGACACCGGCCCCAGCCUCCUGCGGGGGGAACCAGUGGGGAAUCUCCCGCAGUGGGCGAAAGCCUGACGGGCCACCCCCGGGUGAGUAAUGAGGGUUUUCGUAUCAAAAAACUCUGUUAUUAGGAAAAAACAAUUGUGUAAGUAACUAUGCGCGUCUUGACGUUCCCUAACAAGAAAGCCAGGGCAAACUACGUC
rnacentral:rRNA from 1 species